rnacentral:rRNA from 1 species
CUGGCUCAGAACGAACGCUGGCGGCAGGCCUAACACAUGCAAGUCGAGCGCACCUUCGGGUGAGCGGCGGACGGGUGAGUAACGCGUGGGAACGUGCCCUUCUCUGCGGAAUAGCCACUGGAAACGGUGAGUAAUACCGCAUACGCCCUUCGGGGGAAAGAUUUAUCGGAGAAGGAUCGGCCCGCGUUAGAUUAGGUAGUUGGUGGGGUAAUGGCCUACCAAGCCUACGAUCUAUAGCUGGUUUGAGAGGAUGAUCAGCCACACUGGGACUGAGACACGGCCCAGACUCCUACGGGAGGCAGCAGUGGGGAAUCUUAGACAAUGGGCGCAAGCCUGAUCUAGCCAUGCCGCGUGAGUGAUGAAGGCCUUAGGGUCGUAAAGCUCUUUCGCUGGGGAAGAUAAUGACUGUACCCAGUAAAGAAACCCCGGCUAACUCCGUGCCAGCAGCCGCGGUAAUACGGAGGGGGUUAGCGUUGUUCGGAAUUACUGGGCGUAAAGCGCGCGUAGGCGGAUCAGAAAGUUGGGGGUGAAAUCCCGGGGCUCAACCUCGGAACUGCCUCCAAAACUCCUGGUCUUGAGUUCGAGAGAGGUGAGUGGAAUUCCGAGUGUAGAGGUGAAAUUCGUAGAUAUUCGGAGGAACACCAGUGGCGAAGGCGGCUCACUGGCUCGAUACUGACGCUGAGGUGCGAAAGUGUGGGGAGCAAACAGGAUUAGAUACCCUGGUAGUCCACACCGUAAACGAUGAAUGCCAGUCGUCGGCAAGCAUGCUUGUCGGUGACACACCUAACGGA